GCGGCGAUGGCGGAACUGGCAGACGCGUACGUUUGAGGGGCGUAUGGCAACAGCCGUGCGGGUUCAAGUCCCGCUCGCCGCACCA
rnacentral:tRNA from 1 species